CUUCAAGUCUGUGAGAGAAUAUCUAGAAUCUUCAACCCAUUUUGUCUUCUCUUCAAUUCUCAUCUUCCCUUUUUUGUGUGAUUAAAGGUUGAAAUCUCCAUGUAAGAUAGGAGUCUUUGUGAUUUUUGUUGUGUGUGUUAGACGAUUGAUCUAGGAUUGAGUUCUUUCUGGGUCCAUUGUAGUGACUUUGUUUCAUUUCUUGAGUUGUGAGGGUUUUGGGUUUGUCCAAUGCCUCUGUGUUGAUAUAGAAGUAAGCUAAGAUCUUUGAUGCCGGUUGAUUGGGGAUUUUUUUGAGUAUUGUUGAUGUAUUCUCUCCGUACUGAAAUUGUUGUAUCUUUGAGUGAUUUGUAUUAAUAGUGGUAUCAGAGUCUUGCGGAGGCAUCGCUCAAGUCUUCGAUCGAGUUUAUCUCUGGAAAAUUAAUUUUCAAUUGAUAACUUGAAUCGAUUGGAAAUCAGAUGAAACCCUAGGUCUACUAUUUACAGAUCUAGGGGUUGUUGGAGUAGAUCGUGGUACUGAGAAUACAAUCUUAAAAGAAACUCUUGGUUUCUAUAUGCUCUUCAAGGAGAAGCCCUAGAUCUAGAUUUAUCAAAUGUGAAUCCCAAAUCCGAGUUCAUAACGGCCUGUGAUCUUUUCGUAAAACAAGUGUUCUAGUGGUUAUAUUAAAAAAUACCACCACUCUGGUUUGUCGCUUUUAACUCUAACUCAUUUCUUGUGUUCUCUUUUGAACUGUUUUCUAUUCUUUCAUAUGUGAAAUUGUGCUUGGUUCUGCAUUAUUAUCGUGGCCUUUGCUAUUUGAUAAUCUUGAUUUUUUGAACUAUUCCUAGGUUGUGCCUUGACCUGAGAACUUAAUUCUCAAAGAAUCCUGGUGAAUCUGGGAAUCAGUUUGGGAGUGAUCUAUUGUUAUAGUUUUGUGCUUUACCCAUGAGCUAUUGUUGUAUGUGAGUUCAUUAUUUUUUGUUAAAAGAUAAAUGGUAGUUCUUGCAUUUGUCUCCCUUAAUAUUUGUUUUUGGAACUUUUGCGUUGACUUUUUUUUUUAAUUCAUCUUUUUUGAAUUGCUAUCACUGAUAUAAUUCUCUUCCUUAAAUAAAGAAAAAUAUUAUUUUCAAAUAUAAUGAUUACAGCCACUUUUGAACUUGGUGUUUAUAAUAGAAAACGGGAUUUUCCCAUCUAGCAAUAAAAGAUAAAGGGAGUUUUAGGUCAACAAAGAGAUUCUAAGCUAAUGAUUAGAAAAAUGAAGCUGAUGAACUAGCCUAUACUUCUAUUAUCUUGUAUUUGCCUGGUCAAAUAUUAAGAAAAGUAGGAAAAAAGAAUACUACCAAAGAAUUGUGGAAAAGACUAGAAGAACUUUACCUGGCUAAAUCUCUGCCAAAAAGACUGUUUCUUUUGGAAAGAUUCUUUGGCUUUAAAAUUGAUUCCUCUGAGGACUUAGAUGAUAACUUUGAUGUCUUCAAUAAAUUACUCCACGAUAUCACUAAUACAAGGAUAAGGUAUCUGAGGAAUAUAAAGUUGUUGUCCUAUUAAAUGCAAUACUAGAAAUCUUUAAGGAUGUCAAAACUACCAUAAAUAUGGCAUAGACAUCCUCACACUUGAUAUUGUUAUUGAAUCCUUGAGAAGUAAAGAACUAGAAUUGAAUAUGAGAAACAUAGGAGUAUGUCUGAGAGUUUCUUUGUGAGAGACAAACCUUAGGUUAGGCAAAACUAGGGACAACAAUUCAACUCAUCGGCUCGAAAAAAUCCCAAGCCGGCUCAGCUCAAGGAUCGGGUCGAGCCCCAUUUUAAAAGGACGAAAUGGGCUCACACGGGCCCGCUCGAGCUUCAACUGCCUUUAAAAGGUGGCAUUUUGCUACCUUAAGAGGCAGCCAAGUGGGGCCUUUCAUUUUUUAAGGUUCGUAAUAAAAGGCAGCAUCACAAUGCCUUAAAAAGGUAGCACAAUGUUGCCUUCAAUUUACUUAUUAAAAAAAUUAACAGUAAAAGGCUUGUUCGGAAAGGCCCGAGCUAAAAACUCAGGUUGAGCCUAAAUUUUUUGUUUGGCUCAAUUCAAGCCCAAAAAAAUCUCGCACUGUUUUACUUGAGCCCAGCUCGAGCCUCGAGUUUUGACUUGGCUCAUUGACAUCCCUAGGCAGAAGUGAAGUCAAAAAGGUCAAAAUAGCCAAGUAAAUAGAAAUAAGAAAAAAGGUAAAGAGAGGAUUAGAUCUAAAUCUAGGACUAAAAAUAAGAAGUGAUAUGGGUGUGGAAAAUAAGGUCACUUUAUAAAGGACUGUUAUCAAAAGCAGAGUGAAAUGAAAGAAAAGAAAAUAGAUGAAGGUAAUAAGGUAGAACUUUUAGAGUCUAACACCAUUGAUGUGUAUGUUGUUAGUAAGCAUACCACUAAUCUAAACACUGCUAAUUUUUUAGCUAACAGUGAUCAGAACCAAGAAUGGAUAUUGGAUUCAGGUUGUACCUUCCAUGUGACAUCUAGAAAACAAUGGUUAGACAAUUUUUAAAAUACUUAGUGGAGGUGAAGUGGUUAUGGGAAAUAAUGUUGUAUGUAAAGUGGAAGGUAUAAGUAAUGUUACCUUGAUGUUUGACAAUGUUAUCUAUACUCUUGAAAGAGUUAGAUAUGUCCUUGAAUUGAAUAGGAACAUUAUCUCCAUAGGGGAUUUGGAUGACAUGGGCCUCAGGCCUGCAAGGUAAAUUUGGAAAUGACUUAGUUAAAGUGAUGAAAGGAUCACUUGUCAUUUUCAAGGGUUAUAAAAGAAAUGGAAUACAUAUCACUAAAGCUGAUGUUGUCAUGAAUAAUGCUGCUGAAGUUACUAGUUUUGAAUCCGAUUCUACCUUCAAGUGGCAUAAAAGGCUGGCUCAUGUGAGUGAAAAAGGACUUCAAAUCCUUCAUAAGAAAGGGGUUUUUGGUAAAGAAUAGGUAACAAAAAUUCAUUUUUUGUGAAGAUUGCACCCUAGGAAAACAACAUAGAUUACACUUUAAUACUGGUCAACAUAAAUCCACUNAUAUGACAUACAUAUCAGUCACUUACUAUCUCACAAAUGACAUCUAAAUUCAAUACUAAAAAUAUCAAAACAUUAGCCUCCAAACACCAAAUUUAAAAAAGCAUAUCAAUGACUUUAAUGUGAGAUUUAUACUUAUGUUUAAAUUCCACAAAUUUUCUCCACAAAAAAAGAAAAAUUAAAAUUAAAUUAAAUUGAAUUGAAUUUUACAGCAAUAUAUAGAAAUGCCCAUCAUGAGGUCAUCCUAGAGUCGGUUGGACAUCCAAGGGCAGGUCAAAUAUAAGAAUUCGUGGCAAUUAAAGAAAAAUGUAAUAAAUAGAUAGAAACUGCAAGACAAAAAUAAGCACUUUUAGUAAAUAAAUGACCUAAAGAUUUCUUAUCACAAGUUUAUGUCAGGUUGUGAUGUCAGGUUCAAUCCAAUAAGUUAGGCUAUGAUGAUAUGGCAUGUCGGUCAUAUAAAUAAAACUACCCAAUAACGUCUCAUAGAAGGCCCACGACCCCAAGCCCAAUAUUCGGCUAGAUAUAUCGCAUGUUCAAAGUUCGACUUUAGUUGUUGAUUGAAUAGAAAUGUUAGUCGCUCUAGAACAUUAGAUCACAUUCUCUGAUCAAUGGUUGCUGUGUUUAGUAUAAAAAGGGUCUUUUUUGUAACCAUAAACUAGUAGAUUCAUUCGUCAAGUCUGUGAGAGAAUCUCUAGAAUCUUCAACCCAUUUUGUCUUCUCUUCAAUUCUCAUCUGCCCUUUUUUGUGGGAUUAAAGGUUGAAAUCUCCAUGUAAGAUAGGAGUCUUUGUGAUUUCUGCUGUGUGUGUAAAACGAUUGAUCUAGGAUUGAGUUCUUUCUGGGUCCAUUGUUGUGACUUUGUUUCAUGUCUUGAGUUGUGAGGGUUUUGGGUUUGUCCAAUGCCUCUGUGUUGAUACAGAAGUGUACAGUGAUUUGAGCCUACGAUCGAUAAGAUCUUUGAUGCCGGUUGAUUGGGGAUUUUUUGAGUAUUGUUGAUGUAUUCUCUGAAAUUGUUGUAUCUUUGAGUGAUUUGUAUUACUAGUGGUAUCAAAGUCUUGCGGAGUCAUUGUUCAAGUCUUUGAUCGAGUUUAUCUCUGGAAAAUUAAUUUUCAAUUGAUAACUUGAAUCGAUUGGAAAUCAGAUGAAACCUUAGGUCUACUAUUUAUAGAUCUAGGCUUUGCUGGAGUAGAUUGUGGUACUGAGAAUUCAAUCUUAAAAGAAACUCUUGGUUUCUAUAUGCUCUUUGAGGAGAAGCCCUAGAUCUAGAUUUUAUCAAGUGUGAAUCCCAAAUCCGAGUUCAUAACGCUGUGAUCUUUUCGUAAAACAAGUGUUCUAGUGGUUAUAUUAAAAAAUACCACCACUCUGGUUUGCCGCUUUUAACUCUAACUCAUUUCUUGUGUUCUCUUUUGAACUGUUUUCUAUUCUUUCAUAUGUGAAAUCGUGCUUGGUUUUGCAUUAUUAUCGUGGCCUUUGCUAUUUGAUAAUCUUUAUUUUUUGAACUAUUCCUAGGUUGUGCCUUGACCUGAG
rnacentral:lncRNA from 1 species